rnacentral:rRNA from 1 species
GCAAGUCGAACGAUGAAAGCAGGAGCUUGCUUUUGCUGGAUUAGUGGCGAACGGGUGAGUAACACGUGAGUAACCUGCCCUUGACUCUGGGAUAAGCGUUGGAAACGACGUCUAAUACCGGAUACGAGCUAGGACCGCAUGGUCACUAGUUGGAAAGAAUUUCGGUCAAGGAUGGACUCGCGGCCUAUCAGCUAGUUGGUGAGGUAACGGCCCACCAAGGCGACGACGGGUAGCCGGCCUGAGAGGGUGACCGGCCACACUGGGACUGAGACACGGCCCAGACUCCUACGGGAGGCAGCAGUGGGGAAUAUUGCACAAUGGGCGCAAGCCUGAUGCAGCAACGCCGCGUGAGGGACGACGGCCUUCGGGUUGUAAACCUCUUUUAGCAGGGAAGAAGCGAAAGUGACGGUACCUGCAGAAAAAGCACCGGCUAACUACGUGCCAGCAGCCGCGGUAAUACGUAGGGUGCAAGCGUUGUCCGGAAUUAUUGGGCGUAAAGAGCUCGUAGGCGGUUUGUCGCGUCUGCUGUGAAAAUCCGAGGCUCAACCUCGGACCUGCAGUGGGUACGGGCAAACUAGAGUGCGGUAGGGGAGAUUGGAAUUCCUGGUGUAGCGGUGGAAUGCGCAGAUAUCAGGAGGAACACCAAUGGCGAAGGCAGAUCUCUGGGCCGUAACUGACGCUGAGGAGCGAAAGCGUGGGGAGCGAACAGGAUUAGAUACCCUGGUAGUCCACGCCGUAAACGGUGGGAACUAGAUGUGGGGUCCGUUCCACGGAUUCCGUGUCGCAGCUAACGCAUUAAGUUCCCCGCCUGGGG